ensembl:lncRNA
CGCCCACUCAGUGGACCUCAGCAGCCGGCUGAGCGUCGACUCGGUGCUACUGCUGCUUCUCCCGUGUCAACAAAGUAUCGUACAAGCUCAGUGUGUGUGUGUGAGAGAGUGUGUGUGAGAGUGUGUGUGAGUGUGACACAAUGGAUACACGUUUCUACCUCAACUGGGAUUUAUAAGGAAGGAAGAAACAGGACUUUACUCUGUUUAUCGUGUUUGUCGUUUUAAUGGAACACCUGCAGGGUCAGGUGAGGUACGCUCUGAACAGGUGAGCAGUGAUGUUUCCAUGUGAUUGAUAAGAGAACGAGACUAGUACCUGAAACGUGAUCUCCUUCCCCGAUUGCGUGUCGUGGUGUCGCUGUGUGUGUUUGGGCGACGCCGUGAAUCAAAGUUAGGAAAUAUGAAGCC